UUAUCUGUGUUUUUAAAUGGAAGAAAUAUACCCCCAACUCUAACAUAAACAAAGAACACGUGUGGCCAGGGAAAUAAAGUUUAUUAGAAAACCUGUCAGCAGAUUCUUUUGCUUUUAUGAAACUAUUGAAUACAGGAAAUAAGAUCCAGGAUGCAACAUGACCAAGAAAACAUGGUCUGAAGUCUUAAAGAUUUUCAUAGCAUUUCGAUAAUGGAAGACUUUCAGUUGGCCAGAUGAACCAAAUUGUUAUUCAGUCAAGAGGAAUUUCUUCUGAACCAAAUUGUUAUUCAGUCAAGAGGAAUUUCUUCUGAAUAACAACCAAAUUGUUAUUCAGUCAUAGAGGAGUUUCUUGGAUUUCUUCCUGUUAGAGGCAAAGAUGUCUGCACGCCCCUGGGAGACUUCCUCCGGGCUGUGAGAUUUACGCUGAUGUCAUCAGAAGCUGUAAUUCUGCUGGAUGUGUUUAUGGCUUCACGAUGCCUGUGUGAAGAGUCCUUGGCCAAUUAUAGCAUUAAACAGUAAGACAUUACAUGGUUUGGGGAGUACUGCUGUUUAUUUACUUUUAAAGCAAGGAGGUUCAUGAGGGCAUUGUUUCCCAUUGCUUGGAAAUCAUUGCUCCAAACAAGGAAGGAGCACUUCUGGAACACUGAAGGCACGGAGUUAAGACAUCUUCCAGAGCAUCUAAUUAAAGGAUAUCUGCUAAGCAUCCCUCAGUGACGAUUGGAGGUCCCCAGGUAACCUGGGCAAGCUCUCCGAAAUGACUGCACUAGCAGCAAGCAGGGCCACAUUCACAGGACUGGACACAGGUGGUGACAGAGACCCCGGCCAGGUUUGGGGCAGGGUUGUGCUUGGUGAGCAGCCAGUAUGAUGACACAUAGGAGUCAGGCACACAGCAGGGCGGGGGGCAGGUGUCACGGCAGGUGGGUUGAAGGAGGCUGACCUUGUGCGGGCAGGUGCUGGGCAGGCAGACCUCACAUGGGCCGCAGAUGUCAGAGGAGCAGAGGCUGGUGGUAGGGCCAGUGCGGACAAGUCUUCCCCUUUGGAGACGCGAGUGAGAGCAAGCCAUGGUGACAGUAGUCAGAAUGUCUUCUUACAAGCGAUCACUGCUGAGUGCAGAGAAUCCAGAGUGACGUUCCCGAGAACUAAGAAAUCACGCUCUUCAGAUCAUACCCUUCACGCAUCUGGGAGGAGAAAACAUGUGGGACUUCUUUCUACCAGAUUCACAUCAGUAUUUUCCACGGGCUUGAGGGAAUCAAUGCAGAAUGAAGCUAUGAACAUGAUCCUGCCUGAGGCGUGCAGAGCCUGCUAGAUGCUUUUCCACAGCUACAUUCUAUAUUAUCUAAACAUGCAAUUACAAAUAAAUGUGAAAAGCCCUC
rnacentral:lncRNA from 1 species